ACCUAGUUGACGAGUCCUAAAUGGGACGAAAUGUGCAUCCUGGAU
rnacentral:hammerhead_ribozyme from 1 species